AACGAACGCUGGCAGCAGGCUUAACACAUGCAAGUCGAACGGGUGCAGCAAUGCAUCAGUGGCAGACGGGCCAGAAACACGUGGGAACCUUCCUAGGGGUACGGAACAACUCAGGGAAACUGGAGCUAAUACCUUAUACGUCCGUGAGGAGAAGGAUUUAUCGCCCUUAGACGGGCCCGCGUCGGAUUAGCUAGUUGGUGGGGUAACGGCCUACCAAGGCGACGAUCCGUAGCUGAUCUUAGAGGAUGAUCAGCCACACUGGGACUGAGACACGGCCCAGACUCCUACGGGAGGCAGCAGUGGGGAAUCUUGGACAAUGGGCGCAAGCCUGAUCCAGCCAUGCCGCGUGAGUGAAGAAGGUCUUCGGAUUGUAAAGCUCUUUUGCCAGGGACGAUAAUGACGGUACCUGGAGAAUAAGCCCCGGCAAACUUCGUGCCAGCAGCCGCGGUAA
rnacentral:rRNA from 1 species